rnacentral:rRNA from 1 species
GCCUACGGGGGGCAGCAGUAGGGAAUAUUGCUCAAUGGGGGAAACCCUGAAGCAGCAACGCCGCGUGGAGGAUGAAGGUUUUCGGAUUGUAAACUCCUUUUGUUAGAGAAGAUAAUGACGGUAUCUAACGAAUAAGCACCGGCCAACUCCGUGCCAGCAGCCGCGGUAAUACGGAGGGUGCAAGCGUUACUCGGAAUCACUGGGCGUAAAGAGCGCGUAGGCGGGAUAGCAAGUCAGAUGUGAAAUCCUAUGGCUUAACCAUAGAACUGCAUUUGAAACUGUUAUUCUAGAGUAUGGGAGAGGUA